rnacentral:misc_RNA from 1 species
AUGAAGAACGUAGCGAAAUGCGAUAAGUAAUGCGAAUUGCAGAAUUUCCGUGAGUCAUCGAAUCUUUGAACGCACAUUGCGCCCCCUGGCAUUCCGGGGGGCAUGCCUGUCCGAGCGUCAUUUCUGCCCUCCAGCCCGGCUGGGUGUUGGGCGCUGUCCCCCCGGGGACACGCCCCAAAGGCAGUGGCGGCGCCGCGUCGGGUCCUCGAGCGUAUGGGGCUUUGUCACCCGCUCGGGACGGACUCGUCGGCGCUGGUCUUCCUCCAGGCGACCCUUCGGGGCUCGUCUUCCUUCGGUUGACCUCGGAUCAGGUAGGGUUACCCGCUGAACUUAAGCAUAUCAAUAAGCGGAGGA